rnacentral:RNase_P_RNA from 1 species
UAGAGUAGGUGGAUGGUCGCUCGUAGCUUUAGCUACGGGAGGAAAGUCCGGGCCCCGCAGGGCAGGGUGCUGGGUAACGCCCAGUGGGGGUGACCCCAGGAAAGUGCCACAGAAAAUAGACCGCCAGCGGCCCUGUGGAAUUAGUUUUGCUAUUCCACAGGGUGCGGGUAAGGGUGAAACGGUGAGGUAAGAGCUCACCAGUCCAGGUGGUGACACCUGGAGCUAGGCAAACCCCACCCGGAGCAAGACCAAAUAGGAGGACGUUCUCCGUGGCGGAGAUAAGGGUGGCCCGCCCGAAGUCCUCGGGUAGGUUGCUUGAGGCGUUGGGUAACCGACGUCCCAGAGGAAUGACCAUCGUCUGAUUAAGGGUGACCUUAAUCAGAAGACAGAACCCGGCUUACAGCCUACUCUAACUC